rnacentral:rRNA from 1 species
UACGUAGGGUGCAAGCGUUAAUCGGAAUUACUGGGCGUAAAGCGUGCGCAGGCGGCUUUGCAAGACAGAUGUGAAAUCCCCGGGCUCAACCUGGGAACUGCAUUUGUGACUGCAAGGCUAGAGUAUGGUAGAGGGGGAUGGAAUUCCGCGUGUAGCAGUGAAAUGCGUAGAUAUGCGGAGGAACACCGAUGGCGAAGGCAAUCCCCUGGACCUGUACUGACGCUCAUGCACGAAAGCGUGGGGAGCAAACAGG